AACGUACUCCCUCUGUCUGGAAAUAUUUGUCAUCAAAGUAAAUAAAAGGGCAUGUAUCUAGAUGUAUUUUAGUUCUAGAUACAUCCUCUUUGUCCAUUUUGAUAACAAGUAUUUUUAGCCGGAGGGAGUACCUG
rfam:Triticum urartu cultivar G1812 contig652564, whole genome shotgun sequence.